rnacentral:tRNA from 1 species
AGAGGAGUGGCUGAGUGGUUUAAAGCAACGGUCUUGAAAACCGUAAAUAUCUUUUGAUAUUCUAGAGUUCGAAUCUCUACUCCUCUA